rnacentral:misc_RNA from 1 species
UACGGAGGGUGCAAGCGUUAUCCGGAUUUACUGGGUUUAAAGGGUGUGUAGGCGGGCAGUUACGUCAGUGGUGAAAUCUCCGGGCUCAACCCGGAAACUGCCGUUGAUACUAAUUGUCUUGAAUGUCGUUGAGGUGGGCGGAAUAUGUCAUGUAGCGGUGAAAUGCAUAGAUAUGACAUAGAACACCAAUUGCGAAGGCAGCUCACUAAGCGAUGAUUGACGCUGAGGCACGAAAGCGUGGGGAUCAAACAGG